ACCUUUCUAGUAUAAUCUAGUACAAAUGAUUUCCAAUUAUUUAAUCUUGGUUAAAAUCCAAGGAAAAGUA
rnacentral:tRNA from 2 species